rnacentral:rRNA from 1 species
UACAGAGGGUGCAAGCGUUGCUCGGAAUUAUUGGGCGUAAAGGGUAGGUAGGUGGUCUCAUUUGUCAGGGGUGAAAGCCUUGGGCUUAACCCAAGAAGUGCCUUUGAAACGGUGAGACUGGAGUCCUGGAGAGGGUCGUGGAAUUCCCGGUGUAGCGGUGAAAUGCGUAGAGAUCGGGAGGAACACCAGAGGCGAAGGCGGCGACCUGGACAGGUACUGACACUCAACUACGAAAGCGUGGGAGCAAACAGG